GGAGCGUGGCCAUCUGUCAUCAAGGCUGAAAUUUGUUGAGUUUCCAGAGAAAUCUUUUUAGGAGCAGGGAAGUGACUGGAUCCCCACGGUUCAUCCCAGACAGGCAUGUUUGGACUGCUAUUUACCCAGCCUCUAAAUGAGCUUCUUAAUUAGCAGGUCCUAAUGAGUGGUGAAACUGCAAACCAUGGAGCAGGAUGUAUUGAAAAGGAGAAAGAGAUGUUCUUGUGCCCAGACCCCAAAUAAGAGACAGGAGAGAUUUUUCCAACAGAAGUCCAGAAGCUUCAGCACGAUGGAAAGAAAAAAUCCUCCACUUUCAGGGAGCAAAUGCUGCUUCAGCAAUGGAAAUAGAAGAGAUGUUGCAGAUGCUGCUGGGAGGAGCAAGUUUCAGGUCUGACCCAGCUCCCAUCCUUGCCAAAGUGGGAUGAGGAAUUGCUGUGAGCUCCAGCACCUGGGAGAAGUCAAAAAAUCAAGUAUUACAGCAGAAAGAAACCACAUUUCAAGGAAAUAGGAUAUUAUUACAAUUUAUAUUGUAAAUAAUAUGUUGCAUGAAUGCCUGGAUGAAUUGUUAACUCCUGGAAUUUACUGCUACAGGACACAAGUGGCUCUGGUAGGACUCUUAAAAAUGUAACUGUGGGUGUGGGUUAUUGAAGCCCUUGUGUCUCUACAAGCCAGAUUUAUUUAAACAUUUCUACACCUGCACAAUUAUAAAGUGUUAAUUAACAAAGAGUAAAUCUGGAGGGUGUGUGUUUUGCGUGGGCCUGGUUUUUGGCUUCUUGGGUUUGUUGGGCAGUACCUCCAGGUGCUGCACCAUGGAAAUUUGGCUUUCACUCCCCAAAUUUAUUCCUUGUUUGAGUUUUCCUAAUACAACCUGAUGCUGCAGCUUGGUUCCUGCUGGUCAGGAGGGAAGGUGUGAGGAAGGUCAGGACAGCUAUGGGAUCAGCACCACUGGAAGUGUUCAAAAGGUGUGUGGAGGUGGCACCUGGGGACGUGGCUUAGCAGUGCUGGGUUAAUGGUUGGAUUUGAUGAUCUUGGGGGUCUUUUCCAAUUUACUUUUUC
rnacentral:lncRNA from 1 species